rnacentral:tRNA from 2 species
GACCCUUUCGUCUAGUUGGCCCAGGACGCUACAUUCUCUGUGUAGAAACGGCGGUUCAAAUCCUCCAAGGGUCGCCA